UUGCAGAAGCCAUUCAAUCCCUUUGAUUCAUACCCGGAUGCGUUAUGCUAGAACAACACAUAAACCUCAACAAAGGUUAUCAUUUCUUUCUUCAGCAUAUUCUCUCCAGUCUCGAGAGUCGAGACUGCCAGAAUUUGUGAGUGCAUGAUAUAUUUGGAGACAAACCAGUAUCAAUCUCAGUGUCAAUUGCAAUUCAACUUCGUUUAACCAUUGGCAUUACAGCCUUCGUGGAGAAGACCCUUCAACUCUAUAAAACGAAGAGCAACUUUAUGUGCAAUAAUAAAUGCUACUCCAUCCUCUACCUGGAAUUGCAAUUCACUGUUGUGUUUUUUUGGUCUAGCAUGCGAAGCUCAAGCUAUGCUAAUUUUUUAACAUUCUGGGUUGGAUUAGUGAGGGAAAGAGACAAAAAGUACAGAGCCGCUUACAAAUCCCAGUAUCUCCGUCCAGAAUACAAAUUAGUUGAAGAAAAGAUUAGGGAAGAAGAGAUCAGGGAAUAAGAUUUUGAUAAAGGGAGAUCCUAGAGAGUGCAGGAUACAAACAUAUCAACCCAACUUCAAAACACGAACGAGCAGCAGAAAAAAAGAAGAAAAAAAAAGAGAUAGUUGGAGUUGUUACUUGAAUCCUAGUUCAGAGCAUUGACGUGGUCCACCUAAGUUUAAGUGCAGGUUCCAAGUUAUGGGUGUAGGAGGGAAGAAGAAGAAGAAGUGUUCUCGAAAAGUGAAAUCUGCGAUUCAUGUGAAUGAAACAGUGUUGGAUGCCACUGUUGAGGACAAAAGAGUGGUAUCUACAUAUGGUGUUGAAAGGAUGUUUGUUCACCCUGCCAGGUACCGGGCUUAUACGUGCAAGGUAAAAACAUACUCGAGCCUGAAGGUUUUGAAGUGGGUGCGUAACUUGUUGUCUCCUUCCGAGCAAGAGAAAUUUAUGUCAAAUACAA